rnacentral:rRNA from 1 species
AGCCUAAAGAGUAUAUAAUUUUAGGUAAAACCUGCCCAAUGCCUUUAGGUGAAUGGCCGCAGUACCCUGACUGUGCUAAGGUAGCAUAAUCAGUUGGCUUUUAAAUGGAGCCGUGUAUGAAUGGAUUAACGGGGUUAAGCUGUCUCUACUAGAUUUAUUUGAACUUAUUAAGAAGGUGAAAAUACCUUCAUCCAGAUAAAGGACGAUAAGACCCUUGGAGUUUUUACUAGUAAAGUUCAAUUGCUUUGUGGUUUUUGCUGGGGCGGCACAGAGGAAAUUCUUAACCCUCUGAGGAUUAUAAGCCGAAAAUUUUAAGUGCAGUUAAACUACCCGAGGGAUAACAGCAUUAUUCUCUAUAGAGUUUGUGACCUCGAUGUUGGACUAGGAAUUAAUUAGGCUAGUCGCUUAAAUAUAUUGUUCUGUUCGAACUAUUUUUCCU